GACGAACGCUGGCGGCGUGCUUAACACAUGCAAGUCGAACGAAGUGGCGAACGGGUGAGUAACGCGUAAUCAACCUGCCCUUCAGAGGGGGACAACAGUUGGAAACGACUGCUAAUACCGCAUACUGAAGGAGGGGAUUGCGUCUGAUUAGCUAGUUGGAGGGGUAACGGCCCACCAAGGCGAUGAUCAGGAGCCGGUCGGAGAGGAUGAACGGCCACAUUGGGAAUGAGACACGGCCCAGACUCCUACGGGAGGCAGCAGUGGGGAAUAUUGGACAAUGGGCGAAAGCCUGAUCCAGCCAUGCCGCGUGUGUGAAGAAGGUCUUCGGAUUGUAAAGCACUUUAAGUUGGGAGGCGUUACCGACAGAAUAAGCACCGGCUAACUCUGUGCCAGCAGCCGCGGUAAUAC
rnacentral:rRNA from 1 species